rnacentral:rRNA from 1 species
AGCAGCCGCGGUAAUUCCAGCUCCAAUAGCGUAUAUUAAAGUUGUUGCAGUUAAAAAGCUCGUAGUUGAAUUUCGGGAUCAAUAUAUCGGUCGUGCUUCGGUACGUACUGGUAUCAUUGGUUUCUCCUUUCUGACGAACCAUGAUGUCAUUAAUUUGGUGUUAUGGGGAGUUAGGACUGUUACUUUGAAAAAAUUAGAGUGUUUAAAGCAGGCUUUAGCUUGAAUACAUUAGCAUGGAAUAAUGAAAUAGGACGUUCGAACCUAUUUUGUUGGUUUCUAGGAUCAACGUAAUGAUUAAUAGGGAUAGUUGGGGGCAUUAGUAUUCAAUUGUCAGAGGUGAAAUUCUUGGAUUUAUUGAAGACUAACUACUGCGAAAGCAUUUGCCAAGGAUGUUUUCAUUAAUCAAGAACGAAAGUUAGGGGAUCGAAGACGAUCAGAUACCGUCGUAGUCUUAACCAUAAACUAUGCCGACUAGGAAUCGGAUGAUGUUAAUUUUUUAAUGACUCAUUCGGCGCCUUAC